rnacentral:rRNA from 1 species
ACUACGGGUGGCAGCAGUAGGGAAUAUUGCUCAAUGGGCGAAACCCUGAAGCAGCAACGCCGCGUGGAGGAUGAAGGUUUUCGGAUUGUUAACUCCUUUUGUUAGAGAAGAUAAUGACGGUAUCUAAAGAAUAAGUACCGGCUAACUCCGUGCCAGCAGCCGCGGUAAUACGGGGGGUGCAAGCGUUACUCGGAAUCACUGGGCGUAAAGCGCGCGUAGGCGGGAUAGCAAGUCAGAUGUGAAAUCCUAUGGCUUAACCAUAGAGUUGCAGUUGAAACUGUUAGUCUAGAGUAUGGGAGAGGUAGGUGGAAUUCUUGGUGUAGGGGUAAAAUGCGUAGAGAUCAAGAAGAAUACUCAUUGCGAAGGCGACCUGCUAGAACAUAACUGACGCUGAUGCGCGAAAGCGUGGGGAGCAAACAGGAUUAGAUACCCCGGUAGUC